rnacentral:rRNA from 1 species
AGUCGAACGGAGCUGCUCAUAGCUUGCUGUGGGUGGUUGAGUGGCGAACGGGUGAGUAACACGUGAGUAACCUGCCCUCUUCUUUGGGAUAACGGUCGGAAACGGCUGCUAAUACCGGGUAUGUACUGCUUCUCGCAUGGGGGGUGGUGGAAAGGUGCCUCUUUUUGGGGUUCCGGGUGGGGGAUGGGCUCGCGGCCUAUCAGCUUGUUGGUGGGGUGAUGGCCUACCAAGGCUUUGAGGGGUAGCCGGCCUGAGAGGGUGACCGGUCACAUUGCGACUGAGAUACGGCCCAGACUCCUACGGGAGGCAGCAGUGGGGAAUUUUGCACAAUGGGCGCAAGCCUGAUGCAGCGACGCCGCGUGAGGGAUGGAGGCCUUCGGGUUGUGAACCUCUUUCGCUCAUGGUCAAGCCAUGCUUUUGGGGUGUGGUGAGGGUAGUGGGUAAAGAAGCGCCGGCUAACUACGUGCCAGCAGCCGCGGUAAUACGUAGGGCGCGAGCGUUGUCCGGAAUUAUUGGGCGUAAAGGGCUUGUAGGCGGUUUGUCGCGUCUGCCGUGAAAUUCCUCAGCUUAGCUGGGGGCGUGCGGUGGGUACGGGCAGGCUUGAGUGC